rnacentral:rRNA from 1 species
UACGGAGGGGGGCUAGCGUUGUUCGGAAUUACUGGGCGUAAAGCGCACGUAGGCGGCUUUGUAAGUCAGAGGUGAAAUCCCGGGGCUCAACUCCGGAACUGCCUUUGAGACUGCAUCGCUUGAAUCCAGGAGAGGUGAGUGGAAUUCCGAGUGUAGAGGUGAAAUUCGUAGAUAUCGGGAGGAACACCAGUGGCGAAGGCGACUACCUGGCCUGUUCUUGACGCUGAGGCGCGAAAAGCU